rnacentral:rRNA from 1 species
UACGGGAGGCAGCAGUGGGGAAUAUUGCACAAUGGGCGCAAGCCUGAUGCAGCCAUGCCGCGUGUAUGAAGAGGGCCUUCGGGUUGUAAAGUACUUUCAGUCGUGAGGAAGGUGUUAAGGUUAAUAACCUUAGCAAUUGACGUUAGCGACAGAAGAAGCACCGGCUAACUCCGUGCCAGCAGCCGCGGUAAUACGGAGGGUGCGAGCGUUAAUCGGAAUUACUGGGCGUAAAGGGCACGCAGGCGGUUAAUUAAGUUGGAUGUGAAAUCCCCGGGCUUAACCUGGGAAUGGCAUUCAAGACUGGUUAGCUAGAGUCUUGUAGAGGGGGUAGAAUUCCAUGUGUAGCGGUGAAAUGCGUAGAGAUGUGGAGGAAUACCGGUGGCGAAGGCGGCCCCUGGGACAAAGGACUGACGCUCAUGUGCGAAAGCGUGGGGAGCAAACAGGGAUUAGAUACC